CAUGACAGGACCUGGGACCAGCUUGACCUCCAGGAUGAGUCUGUAUAGAUCUACAUUGAGGUCUAAUUGUUGAUUCAGAGCCCGGGCAGUUUCCACAAUCCGUCUUUGCAUAUUUAUUACAUGCGACUGACUGUUCUUUGUCUACACAUUUCCAGAAAUCUGAGAAGUGCAAGAUCCAUGACACCACAAGCAGGUGCUCAGCAUAUCUCUAGUAUAGCUAUUCCGACAAACAAAGCCGGAACGUCUCUCGCCCGCACGCUGCUUUGUUUCACUUGUACGAAUUUCUGAUGGGAAGCCUGUCAGAGGGACAAUUCAAAGAAACAGCAUUAUGAGCCCCG